GAAUCUUUUUGUGUGGUUACAGGUAGCUGGGGGAUGCUGGUAUGUUCUUGCAAUACAGCGUGUUGCUUCUUGUAUCAGACAGCAAUGCAUGAGGACCGCGAACUGUAACCUGAGUCUGUCUUGCCAAGAAGAGGUCUGUUACCAAUUCGUGUCACCCACUAGCACAAUUGGGUUUCCAUGCGUAUCUGGAAACCUCACCAGUGUGGUUAAGAAGCCUAUGUGCUUAGACUCUGACGGACCAUUCCGAUAUGGUAUCUACGGUUGGGCGCUUCCGGUCAUCUCUAGCAACUCUCUUGCCGUUAAGAUACUUUACCCUAUCUUCUGGGGGUUAACCUCUGGCACGUGUGGCUUCAGUUUAGGCUGGCUUACGUCUCGAGAGAGUCACUCGUCGUUGGGUGUGGGAAACUCGUUUGGGAUCCACGCGCCAUCGCGUCACACUACGCACGCUCCCUCACUGGCUUCUGGUUUGAUGUUAUAGUCAUCCUCCCGGUUCCGCAGGUUAAAAACUUUUUCAGAAAAGCCUUCAAACUAUUCCGAUAUUAUUGAAAUAACCAUAAACAUUUUAUUAGAGUCAAUUAAGCCCCCACGAAUCAAUCGAAAGUGUUAUUGUUUGCUUGCAGGCUGUGUUUUGGUUAGUGGUGCCAAAACUGAUAAGAGAAGAGAAGGUUAAGCUGAUAAUGACGAUCCUUCUGCUGAUCUUCUUGUUCCAGUUCCUCCCCAAGAUUUAUCACUGCAUCUGCUUGAUGAGAAGGAUGCAGAAGGUCACUGGUUACAUUUUCGGAACUAUUUGGUGGGGUUUUGCUCUUAACCUCAUCGCAUAUUUCAUCGCUUCUCAUGUAAGUCCAUGCUAAGAAAAUGAUUAUGCACAAAAUCAACAACUAAAUAUCAAAUUCCAUGCUGAGAAAAUGAUACUAAAGCUUGUCUAUUCAUGGAAUCUUUUUGUGUGGUUACAGGUAGCUGGGGGAUGCUGGUAUGUUCUUGCAAUACAGCGUGUUGCUUCUUGUAUCAGACAGCAAUGCAUGAGGACCGCGAACUGUAACCUGAGUCUGUCUUGCCAAGAAGAGGUCUGUUACCAAUUCGUGUCACCCACUAGCACAAUUGGAUUUCCUUGCUUAUCCGGAAACCUCACUAGUGUGGUUAAGAAGCCUAUGUGCUUAGACUCUAACGGACCAUUCCGAUAUGGUAUCUACGGUUGGGCACUUCCGGUCAUCUCCAGCAACUCUCUUGCGGUUAAGAUACUUUACCCUAUCUUCUGGGGUCUCAUGACUCUCAG
rnacentral:lncRNA from 1 species